GGGUAUGAGGGAGACGGCGAUGUCCGCUACAAAGAGCAUCGAAUCCGUUGGCGCUGCGUUAAUGCGUUUCAGUGGUCUGGAAGGACUGGAAUACCUAAAGCUACGUGGAAGACAUGGAUUUUACGUGGAAUCUGCCUCCGGCUACACAGGGAGGCGUUAGAACGCUGACGAAACGCGAACGCUUGAGAUCCAGGCUGAUACGGACUUGGCGUUCAUUCUCAAGUGUGCUUGAGCUGGGGCAAGAUUCUAUUAUAGACGUGAUGAUGAUGUUGAUGUAUGAAUUCUGGAUGACAGGAAUCGGUUCAUCGAGGUGUUUCGACCGAUUGGUCGGAUCCCGUGGGUCACGUGGUCCUAAUAUAAUAUGGGAAAGUCAAACCUCGGAGGAAAAGGAGACCUUGGAAAUCAGUGAUAAAACACGGAAAUGAACUGACCUCGGAUCAGGAGUCGGAAGACGAGCGGAGAGUGGGAGUAGUGAUAGUGGUGGAGGAGUGAACCCGGAGCAGGUGAACACAGCUGCAGACCGCCAUGGGCUCUCUUCCAUUGGUCCCGACUCUCCAUCUUCAGGUCUCUGAGAGACGGCAGGGGCCAGCCAGGGAGCGUCGGAGUGGGCAGGCGAGGCAGCUCGCUUUCCCCGCCGGCUACCGGCUCCUCGGCAGCGAGGAGGGAGAGAAAUCAAUACUGAGGAGAGAUGCUGCCAGGGGUCGCCCAACGCUGCCUCCAGCCAUGGAGCCAUGGGAGCCCGAGUGUUCGGCUUUCUCUCUCUUGCAGCCCAAUCUCAGUCAACUCGUAUCAGCUAAAGCGAGGGCCAACAGCCUUGACGCUCUUCAUGCAACACCGAGUGUGUGUGUGCUUGCUUGUGUGGUUCUGCCAGAGGGCCUUUACAGGAUUGGCAUCACUUGAUAAAACUUUGCCUGCUGGAGAACAAGUAGAAAAAGAAUGUCAAAGGUCUUUCUUUCCCCCAUCUUUGAUUCCUAGUUCGCCAUAAGUGCACAUUCCCCCUGACUGUUGUAAUGAGUGCUUGACAGAGAUCUCUUUUACGCUAAAUCAAGAGGCCUUCUUUUUUUAGUGGUCCUCCUCCUGAGCAUGCACAAAGUGCUCUACAUCUGAUGGGCUGGGAUGAGAGAGCAGUUUGAAUCCUUUUUCCACCUGGUUUUAUCAGAUUUUUUUUUAUGGACGCACUAUUCGAGAGGCUCGGAAAAAGGACUUGGCCUUGAUUUGUAGGUGAAGGGUUUGGCGCCUACCCUUCCUGGGCACUUUGUAACCAUUUUCACCCUUGACCCUGGCACUUGAUGCGUAUUAAUAACAGUGCGGACCAAUCGAGCACAGUGCAAGAUGGAGAAGUUCCAAAAAAGUUGAUCCCACAAGGUUGCAGAUCCACUGGGAUGUGGACAACUGAAACAUGGCCCGAGCUAGAUACCAACAAUUCGAAAACUGGAGUGCCUGGUGGCAGUGGAUAUUUCCUGUAUCUUUGGAUGCUCAACGAGAAGUUGGAUUCGGUUUUGGACUAAAUCUUGAUCACCACAGACAAAUCAAGAGGAGAUGGUUUCUAUUUAAUUACAGUAGAUCACUGUUUUUCAGUAAGACUGUGUUGUUUUUGUUGAAUCUUUUUUUUUUGUCAUCAAGUAAGUAUUUUUGGACAAUAAAGGUAAGUUCAUUUUUUUAAGUCUUUUGAAAUGUACAGGACAAAGGUACAGUACAUAUAUAGACAUUCAUAUAGAUGGAUAGAUAUUUAUACAUAGAUCUACAGUAGAUAUUCAUAUAGAUGGUGUGCAGAUAGAGGUUCAUAUAAAUGGAUAAAUAACAGAUGUGUAGAUA